rnacentral:rRNA from 1 species
AAUAAUUUAUUUGAUGGUUUCUUACUACAUGGAUAACCGCAGUAAUUCUAGAGCUAAUACAUGCGUAAAGUCCCGACUCUCGCGGGGAGGGAUGUAUUUAUUAGAUUAAAAACUAAUGCGUCCCCUGGGCGGUUUUGUGUUGACUCAUAGUAACUUUUCGGAUCGCAUGGCUUCACGCCGGCGACAGUUCAUUCAAAUUUCUGCCCUAUUAGCUUUCGACGGUAGUGUAGUGGACUACCGUGGCAUUUACGGGUGACGGAGAAUUAGGGUUCGAUUCCGGAGAGGGAGCCUGAGAAACGGCUACCACA